GACAAGAUGGCCGAGUGGUUAUGGCGUGUGACUCAAGCGAAAGCUUGCCUCAACAGAGGCUGUAUUCUCAUGGGCUUUGCCCGCGGGGGUUCGAAUCCCCCUCUUGUCA